AUUGAACGCUGGCGGCAUGCCUUACACAUGCAAGUCGAACGGUAACAGGUCUUCGGAUGCUGACGAGUGGCGAACGGGUGAGUAAUGCAUCGGAACGUGCCCAGUAGUGGGGGAUAGCCCGGCGAAAGCCGGAUUAAUACCGCAUACGACCUGAGGGUGAAAGGGGGGGAUCGCAAGACCUCUUGCCAUUGGAGCGGCCGAUGUCAGAUUAGCUAGUUGGUGGGGUAAAGGCCUACCAAGGCAACGAUCUGUAGUAGGUCUGAGAGGACGACCAGCCACACUGGGACUGAGACACGGCCCAGACUCCUAUGGGAGGCAGCAGUGGGGAAUUUUGGACAAUGGGCGCAAGCCUGAUCCAGCAAUGCCGCGUGCAGGAAGAAGGCCUUCGGGUUGUAAACUGCUUUUGUCAGGGAAGAAAUCUUCUGGGCUAAUACCCUGGGAGGAUGACGGUACCUGAAGAAUAAGCACCGGCUAACUACGUGCCAGCAGCCGCCGUAAAAC
rnacentral:rRNA from 1 species